GGAAUAUGAUGAGUGGUUGGCUCUCGCAAAGAAUGCGAGUUGGGUGUCUGCCCCAACGCCUGGUUACGACAAUUGGGCACUCAUUCCUUCCAAUCUGAUCCC